rnacentral:lncRNA from 1 species
ACCUUCUUGUGUAUAUGGUAUAUGUAUAUGGUAUACAUGUUCAUAUGCAUCCUGCCACACAGGCACACAAUGAACAAUGAACACACACACACACACACACACACACACACACACACACACACACACACACACACACGAAGAGACAGAGCUGUAGAUUCCAAAAUAAGAUCCUCCGAGUGUCUGGGUGGAGGAGGCAUCUCCUCCCUUGGAGACCACGCAGCCUAGCCUGCCCCUCCCCCAGCCAAUAUGAAGAGAAGGACAAAGCCUUCAAGGAACAGCUGACCCACCUGGCCUCCUUGCUGCCCACCCUGCAGGUAAGGUUGAGGGUGUGUAGGGCUGGACACAGCCCACAGCCCAGACACUGAGCAUGCCCCCGCCGGCGCCCCCUGCAGGUUCAUCUGGUCAUCUGCUCUUCCUUUCUCAGCUUGGCCAGCAAAGCCGAGUUUCUGGAUCUGGGUUAUGAGCUGAUGGAGAGACUUCAAGGCAUAGUCAC